rnacentral:rRNA from 1 species
CGUGUAGGCGGCCUCGUAUGUCUGACGUGAAAGCCCCGGGCUCACCCCGGGAAGUGCGUUGGAAACUGCGAGACUAGAGUCCCGGAGAGGAAGGUGGAAUUCCAGGUGUAGCGGUGAAAUGCGUAGAUAUCUGGAAGAACACCGGUGGCGAAGGCGGCCUUCUGGACGGUGACUGACGCUGAGACGCGAAAGCGUGGGGAGCAAACA